rnacentral:lncRNA from 1 species
CUAAAGUUUUCUUUAUAUUUUUCGCAAUCUUCAAAAGUUUCCACAGGACACGUCUUUCACUUGUUCAAGCUCAAAUUUCCUGUGGUUACUUCUUGAGUGCUCCUAAGUAAAAGAAAAAUAUCAAAAAAAAAUAAAAAGAAUUGCAGGUUUCGAACCGUGUUGUUCGCAAGCUGGAUUGAUUUGUCUCUUUUCCACCAAAUCGAUAGUUGCCAGAAACUUUCGGAAGAUCGGGCCACACUUAUUCUCCUCAAGUGGUAAUCAAAGCUUCAAACAUAACGUUAGGUUCACAUCUACCCUU